UAAGUAGUUUGUGCUUUUGUUUUCAUUUAGUAGAAACUUAAGCCACAUGGUUAAUUUGCAUACUGUAGCUUUAUGAAACUGCUGUUGAGAUAAAAUAAAGGGAAAUGUGAAGGAUCAUUUGGAUGUUUCUCUUUCUUUCUUUUUUUUUUUUUCCGCCUUAAAUGUCUUUAUUUGGACACUAUGUUGUUGUUGGACAAUAUACAGUAGGGGGCGGUAUGCGCUUUUGUUUGGCCUGCACUGAACUUUAAAGAAGAAGAACAGCUGUUGGUGAUGUCACUUCCCCUUCCCCUGGGUAAGGACGGUCGAAUUGGGCAAAUGCUGCUGAAGCAGAAGUUCACUAACUGCAUAGAGAUCUAACAGUUGACCCCAUGAAAGGUUAAGGAUUAGUAGCUAGUGUUAGUACUUAGUGGCUACAAUGUAAUGGUUUCGGAUGCAGCCAAAGUGAUUUGUGUAUACUUCACGUUCCUUCCUGCCAGGGCUGAUCAGUAAAUACAUUAUUUUGCCAUUGGAGUGCCUGCCUCUGAGACUACUGCCUGUUGAGAGCUGCAGAUUAUGCUGUUUUGUUUUCAAGCGCUCCAAAACAGAAGAUAUGAUCCACUUGACAAGUUGUUUGCUGGUGUGCUUGAUAUCUACAGGGAACUAUGUUGCAGCUCAUCAGACUGCCCAGAGAACUUUGCCUCCAGAUGUGUGGCCACCCCAGUUUGUGUGGUCUGGUCCGCCUGACUGGUUUCCUCCAGAAGGGCAAACACCACGCAGCAGUACUCGCGUUUAUAGCCCAAAGUCGUUCAACCCAGAUCGGCUCCACAGUGCAAACGCUUUAAACCCCAAUGAUGGCAGCAGAUAUCCGCACAAGAAACCUCAGACUUAUAAUUCAGUGGCCAGCCCAAAGACGUUUAGCAUACAGUUUCAAGCUCUCCCUUUCUCAAACAAAGGAUGUGGCCAUUCACAGUCAUCGAAGUGUCCCAAUAAACACCCGAAAGGUGCUUUAAAGCCUGGUGUUCAAAUUAGCUUAGCUCUUAGAACCACCGCAGCACCACCAUCUACCACCAGUGCGGCCAAUGCUGGAGUUUCAUAUUCAGGACACUCACAGAAUAAAUUUUUCAUAAUCCUUUUAAAGUGCCAGAGGUAA
rnacentral:lncRNA from 1 species